GCGCCCAUAGCUCAAUUGGACAGAGCGUUUGACUACGAAUCAAAAGGCUGCAGGUUCGAGUCCUGCUGGGCGCA
rnacentral:tRNA from 1 species